CAGUCGCCGCGGGAAUACGUAGGUGGCAAGCGUUGUCCGGAAUUAUUGGGCGUAAAGGGCUCGCAGGCGGUUUCUUAAGUCUGAUGUGAAAGCCCCCGGCUCAACCGGGGAGGGUCAUUGGAAACUGGGAAACUUGAGUGCAGAAGAGGAGAGUGGAAUUCCACGUGUAGCGGUGAAAUGCGUAGAGAUGUGGAGGAACACCAGUGGCGAAGGCGACUCUCUGGUCUGUAACUGACGCUGAGGAGCGAAAGCGUGGGGAGCGAACAGGAUUAGAUACCCCCGUAGCCCUGUCUCUUAUACA
rnacentral:rRNA from 1 species